GUAUUGGGUUGGCCAAAAAGUUCGUCCAGAUUUUUGUAAUAUUUUAUGGAAAAACCUGAACAAAUUUUUUGGCCAACCCAAUAUAAAG
rnacentral:miRNA from 1 species